UACGAAGGGGGCUAGCGUUGUUCGGAAUCACUGGGCGUAAAGCGCACGUCGGCGGAUUUGUAAGUCAGGGGUGAAAUCCCGGGGCUCAACCUCGGAACUGCCUUUGAUACUGCGAGUCUCGAGUCCGGAAGAGGUGAGUGGAAUUCCUAGUGUAGAGGUGAAAUUCGUAGAUAUUAGGAAGAACACCAGUGGCGAAGGCGGCUCACUGGUCCGGUACUGACGCUGAGGUGCGAAAGCGUGGGGAGCAAACAGG
rnacentral:rRNA from 1 species